UCUAACUUUCAUUUCUUACGAUAUCUUCGUUUGGUGUUGGUAUCAGCCUAAUGCUGAGCUUUUGCAGUAAGCUGGGAAAUAUUCUUUUCUCUUACAUUUUAUGGAGAAAUUUGUGUAAAAUUGCUGUGACUUCUUGUUAUCAUCGAUGUAUCGUCUCCCGUAUUUACAUGACGUUUAACAGACCUCCUCCUAGACGGAAGCUUAGACUGGAGUUAUAGGUUCUUGGGAGGAAGGCCACAGAGAUAGAGGACCAUUUUCAUCACGUCCUGUCAAGGGUCUGUCUUGGACCCAGAACAACAUGCUUCCUGUCAGCACCAACAACCAACCAACCAACCAACCAACCGACCGACCGACCAACCAACCAACCAAUGCAUACAUGUAGAAAAGACUUCACGGCUUCUUUCCCUCAGCCUUGUUUUGGAGACCCACCCACAUUCAUGUGUGUAUCAGUAGCGGCUUUCUUUUUAUUGCUGAAUAAUAUUGAACUGUGUAGACACAUAAAAAACUGUGGACACACGUGCUUGUUUUAGGGUUGUUUUCAGUUUUUUUAACCUAAAUAUGGGAACCCAAUAAUAAGGCUUCGGUAUAGACAAUUAUUUGUGUGAAAAUCUGUGUGUUUGUGUGUAUGGGCGUGUGUGUGUGUGUGUGCGUGUGAGUGUGUGUAUUAAAAAUAAGUUUUGAACUUUCCUGGAAAAUUUUUAUUGACAUUUUGGGCAAUACUUUCGUUUUAAUGCCAGUAGACAUACUCUUCUUGCAAAUUCCAAUGGCUCUAAGAAAAGCAUAUUGAGCUCACAUACAUGUGACCCUAAAAGUCAGGUGAAAAUCUAAAAGGAAAAGCAGGUACUCCUGUGUAUCUGUCUGUGUUAGGGGGAAGAAAAACUUGGAGACUUUAGCAACAAACAAACAAAACAAAACAAAACCCUUCUAAGGAUACAUAUAGGCAUGGUAUGUCUUUGGUUUUCAUCUUUUGCUAUUUUGAAUAAGUUUGUUUUGAAUAUUUCUGUGCAAGACUUUCUGAAGACAUCUUUUUCAUUUCACUUGUGCAAAUAGUCAAGAAUCAAAUUGCCAGGUCACAUGGUAAGUAUGUGCUGAACUUUACUGAAAAUGGUCAGCCUUGUGCAAAAGAGAUGGACUCUUUUAUGUUCCCACCAGAUUUUCACCAACAUUUAGUGUGGUAAGUGCUCUAAAUGUUAGCCACUCCAUAAGGUGUAUGGUGGCAUUUGUGUUUUUCUGACAAUUAAUGAUGUUAGACAUUAUGACUUUAGUCCCUGACAAUCUUGGGUGAGAGACAUUUUAUUGACAAACCUCCUAACACUGGUCUGUGGAAGACUAAUUCUGUCUCUUUCUAAUACUCCCAGAUAUAACAGCACCCAAUAGGUGUGCGUCACACUGGAGAUUUAGCUACAAUCAUCUUUUCCUUUUGCCAGUUCACACUUUUAUUAACCACUUUUUCAUAAGCAAGGGUUGCUUGUUUUUAGUACAUUUUAGAUGGCUCUUCUCUUAAAACAUUAUCAUUUCUCCUGAACAUUCGGGCCAUUAUCAGCUGGCUGUGGUGUUAAGUCUUGGUUUUUCCUUUCUCACUUCCAUUUUUAGCCCACGGAACUAAACCUAACUCAUUUUAGGUAGUGCAAAGUGAGACACAUCAUUUGGUGCUUCUGACACUGAGGUCCCACAACUGUGAAGGGGUGUCAUGUUCCCUGGUCCACCCACCACUCAGGGCGUCAAAUCGUGGGGCUCUCUUCACAAACAGGCCUUGUAGAUCUACGUGUUUCUGACAACUGUGUUGCAGCAGAUAGCAGCUACUGGCUGGAGGAAGGGUGGCUUUUCCAAUGCAUUGCAAAGGCAGUUUGGGCUGGUUGUGGAACAGAAAGUGCUGUGUGGGCUGGAUGACUGUUCUAGCCACGCACUGUGGAGGGUGAGGUGCCCGCUCCUCCCGCAGUGUCACAUGUUGAUGUCGAGCCUGCAGAGCAGAAGCUGUGAAGCACCUGCCUCUCCUGAGGGCAGCCUGGCGGCAUCACCUGCUGAGCUGUCUCUACAAAGGCAGCUGAAAUGCACAUGGAAACCUCCUUUAGCAAUUCUCCACGUGGACCAGUCACUGGAAUUGCAGUGCCCUGGGCAAGAGAUUAAUGAGAUUUCACCAGGUCGAGACCGCUUAUCUCAGGCAUGCAGGGGUGGUCUGUGACUAUCCCAAGGAGACAACUCGCAAGAUUCCUCAAGCUAGAAUUCAGGGUCGACUCCAGGUGGGGGAUACUUCACUGUUCUCUUCCACAACCAGACUAUCAUCUCUGCCCUGAGAGGAGCUGACAAGUCCACCUAGCAGAAUAAAGAGUUGUGUACCAGGGGUCUGAAAACUUUCUUGCUGACAACCCACAGCUACCUUUCUGGGCGUCCUGGGGAGGUCACUUUUCUCAUCUAGGUCUUGAUCCCUUUUCAUGAGAUUAAGAGUUCUGAAUGAGAACUACAAAGAACUGUUUAAUUCUUGCCAUCCCAUGACUAGAGGAACAUUCGGUGUGUGCCAGAUGUUCCCCACUGGCCCCAAGGACCUCCUCUGCCCCCCUUUCUGCCCUACUGUGCUCCCUAUCAGGCUGACCUCUACCAGUGUUAUUUCUGGGUCCCCUGCCCUCCAGCCUCUGGUUAGGGGUGGCCAGUAAGAUUCACUGUGUAUUAAACCCAAGAGAUAGAUAUUUCUUCACUGUUAGCAAAGUCAAUCAGGCACAGGAGCAUGUCUCUGUGGGUGUCACUUAAGGGACUUUGGACACCUAUGCUUAGGCUUGUUCAAAUAAAUGACAUGUGAGUA